AGAGUUUGAUCCUGGCUCAGGAUGAACGCUGGCGGCGUGCCUAAUACAUGCAAGUCGAACGCUUCACUUCGGUGAAGAGUGGCGAACGGGUGAGUAAUACAUAAGUAACCUGGCAUCUACAGGGGGAUAACUGAUGGAAACGUCAGCUAAGACCGCAUAGGUGUAGAGAUCGCAUGAACUCUAUAUGAAAAGUGCUACGGGACUGGUAGAUGAUGGACUUAUGGCGCAUUAGCUGGUUGGUAGGGUAACGGCCUACCAAGGCGACGAUGCGUAGCCGACCUGAGAGGGUGACCGGCCACACUGGGACUGAGACACGGCCCAGACUCCUACGGGAGGCAGCAGUAGGGAAUCUUCGGCAAUGGGGGCAACCCUGACCGAGCAACGCCGCGUGAGUGAAGAAGGUUUUCGGAUCGUAAAGCUCUGUUGUAAGUCAAGAACGAGUGUGAGAGUGGAAAGUUCACACUGUGACGGUAGCUUACCAGAAAGGGACGGCUAACUACGUGCCAGCAGCCGCGGUAAUACGUAGGUCCCGAGCGUUGUCCGGAUUUAUUGGGCGUAAAGCGAGCGCAGGCGGUUUGAUAAGUCUGAAGUUAAAGGCUGUGGCUCAACCAUAGUUCGCUUUGGAAACUGUCAAACUUGAGUGCAGAAGGGGAGAGUGGAAUUCCAUGUGUAGCGGUGAAAUGCGUAGAUAUAUGGAGGAACACCGGUGGCGAAAGCGGCUCUCUGGUCUGUAACUGACGCUGAGGCUCGAAAGCGUGGGGAGCGAACAGGAUUAGAUACCCUGGUAGUCCACGCCGUAAACGGUGGAUGCUGGAUGUGGGGCCCGUUCCACGGGUUCCGUGUCGGAGCUAACGCGUUAAGCAUCCCGCCUGGGGAGUACGGCCGCAAGGCUAAAACUCAAAGAAAUUGACGGGGGCCCGCACAAGCGGCGGAGCAUGCGGAUUAAUUCGAUGCAACGCGAAGAACCUUACCUGGGCUUGACAUGUUCCCGACAGCCGUAGAGAUAUGGCCUCCCUUCGGGGCGGGUUCACAGGUGGUGCAUGGUCGUCGUCAGCUCGUGUCGUGAGAUGUUGGGUUAAGUCCCGCAACGAGCGCAACCCUCGCCCUGUGUUGCCAGCACGUCAUGGUGGGAACUCACGGGGGACCGCCGGGGUCAACUCGGAGGAAGGUGGGGAUGACGUCAGAUCAUCAUGCCCCUUACGUCCAGGGCUUCACGCAUGCUACAAUGGCCGGUACAACGGGAUGCGACACGGCGACGUGGAGCGGAUCCCUGAAAACCGGUCUCAGUUCGGAUUGGAGUCUGCAACCCGACUCCAUGAAGGCGGAGUCGCUAGUAAUCGCGGAUCAGCAACGCCGCGGUGAAUGCGUUCCCGGGCCUUGUACACACCGCCCGUCAAGUCAUGAAAGUGGGUAGCACCCGAAGCCGGUGGCCUAACCCUUUGUGGAUGGAGCCGUCUAAGGUGAGACUCGUGAUUGGGACUAAGUCGUAACAAGGUAGCCGUACCGGAAGGUGCGGCUG
rnacentral:rRNA from 1 species